AUAAAUAUAGCUUAAUAAAAGCGUUGGUUUUGUAAACCUAUGUUGCAUACAUGCUAUUUAUA
rnacentral:tRNA from 1 species